rnacentral:rRNA from 1 species
CUUAGGCGUGUGACUGCGUACCUUUUGUAUAAUGGGUCAGCGACUUAUAUUCUGUAGCAAGGUUAACCGAAUAGGGGAGCCGAAGGGAAACCGAGUCUUAACUGGGCGUUAAGUUGCAGGGUAUAGACCCGAAACCCGGUGAUCUAGCCAUGGGCAGGUUGAAGGUUGGGUAACACUAACUGGAGGACCGAACCGACUAAUGUUGAAAAAUUAGCGGAUGACUUGUGGCUGGGGGUGAAAGGCCAAUCAAACCGGGAGAUAGCUGGUUCUCCCCGAAAGCUAUUUAGGUAGCGCCUCGUGAAUUCAUCUCCGGGGGUAGAGCACUGUUUCGGCAAGGGGGUCAUCCCGACUUACCAACCCGAUGCAAACUGCGAAUACCGGAGAAUGUUAUCACGGGAGACACACGGCGGGUGCUAACGUCCGUCGUGAAGAGGGAAACAACCCAGACCGCCAGCUAAGGUCCCAAAGUCAUGGUUAAGUGGGAAACGAUGUGGGAAGGCCCAGACAGCCAGGAUGUUGGCUUAGAAGCAGCCAUCAUUUAAAGAAAGCGUAAUAGCUCACUGGUCGAGUCGGCCUGCGCGGAAGAUGUAACGGGGCUAAACCAUGCACCGAAGCUGCGGCAGCGACGCUUAUGCGUUGUUGGGUAGGGGAGCGUUCUGUAAGCCUGCGAAGGUGUGCUGUGAGGCAUGCUGGAGGUAUCAGAAGUGCGAAUGCUGACAUAAGUAACGAUAAAGCGGGUGAAAAGCCCGCUCGCCGGAAGACCAAGGGUUCCUGUCCAACGUUAAUCGGGGCAGGGUGAGUCGACCCCUAAGGCGAGGCCGAAAGGCGUAGUCGAUGGGAAACAGGUUAAUAUUCCUGUACUUGGUGUUACUGCGAAGGGGGGACGGAGAAGGCUAUGUUGGCCGGGCGACGGUUGUCCCGGUUUAAGCGUGUAGGCUGGUUUUCCAGGCAAAUCCGGAAAACUAAGGCUGAGGCGUGAUGACGAGGCACUACGGUGCUGAAGCAACAAAUGCCCUGCUUCCAGGAAAAGCCUCUAAGCAUCAGGUAACAUCAAAUCGUACCCCAAACCGACACAGGUGGUCAGGUAGAGAAUACCAAGGCGCUUGAGAGAACUCGGGUGAAGGAACUAGGCAAAAUGGUGCCGUAACUUCGGGAGAAGGCACGCUGAUAUGUAGGUGAAGUCCCUCGCGGAUGGAGCUGAAAUCAGUCGAAGAUACCAGCUGGCUGCAACUGUUUAUUAAAAACACAGCACUGUGCAAACACGAAAGUGGACGUAUACGGUGUGACGCCUGCCCGGUGCCGGAAGGUUAAUUGAUGGGGUCAGCGCAAGCGAAGCUCUUGAUCGAAGCCCCGGUAAACGGCGGCCGUAACUAUAACGGUCCUAAGGUAGCGAAAUUCCUUGUCGGGUAAGUUCCGACCUGCACGAAUGGCGUAAUGAUGGCCAGGCUGUCUCCACCCGAGACUCAGUGAAAUUGAACUCGCUGUGAAGAUGCAGUGUACCCGCGGCAAGACGGAAAGACCCCGUGAACCUUUACUAUAGCUUGACACUGAACAUUGAGCCUUGAUGUGUAGGAUAGGUGGGAGGCUUUGAAGUGUGGACGCCAGUCUGCAUGGAGCCGACCUUGAAAUACCACCCUUUAAUGUUUGAUGUUCUAACGUGGACCCGUAAUCCGGGUUGCGGACAGUGUCUGGUGGGUAGUUUGACUGGGGCGGUCUCCUCCUAAAGAGUAACGGAGGAGCACGAAGGUUGGCUAAUCCUGGUCGGACAUCAGGAGGUUAGUGCAAUGGCAUAAGCCAGCUUGACUGCGAGCGUGACGGCGCGAGCAGGUGCGAAAGCAGGUCAUAGUGAUCCGGUGGUUCUGAAUGGAAGGGCCAUCGCUCAACGGAUAAAAGGUACUCCGGGGAUAACAGGCUGAUACCGCCCAAGAGUUCAUAUCGACGGCGGUGUUUGGCACCUCGAUGUCGGCUCAUCACAUCCUGGGGCUGAAGUAGGUCCCAAGGGUAUGGCUGUUCGCCAUUUAAAGUGGUACGCGAGCUGGGUUUAGAACGUCGUGAGACAGUUCGGUCCCUAUCUGCCGUGGGCGCUGGAGAACUGAGGGGGGCUGCUCCUAGUACGAGAGGACCGGAGUGGACGCAUCACUGGUGUUCGGGUUGUCAUGCCAAUGGCACUGCCCGGUAGCUAAAUGCGGAAGAGAUAAGUGCUGAAAGCAUCUAAGCACGAAACUUGCCCCGAGAUGAGUUCUCCCUGACUCCUUGAGAGUCCUGAAGGAACGUUGAAGACGACGACGUUGAUAGGCCGGGUGUGUAAGCGCAGCGAUGCGUUGAGCUAACCGGUACUAAUGAACCGUGAGGCUUAACCUU